CCCGCUGAACUUAAGCAUAUCAAUAAGCGGAGGAAAAGAAACUAACAAGGAUUCCCCUAGUAACUGCGAGUGAAGCGGGAAAAGCUCAAAUUUAAAAUCUGGCGGUCUUGCGGCCGUCCGAGUUGUAAUCUGGAGAAGCGUUUAUCCGCGUCGGACCGUGUACAAGUCUUCUGGAAGGGAGCGUCGUAGAGGGUGAGAAUCCCGUCUUUGACACGGACAACCGGUGCUUUUGUGAUGCGCUCUCGAAGAGUCAGGUUGUUUGGGAAUGCAGCCUAAAAUGGGUGGUAAAUUUCAUCUAAAGCUAAAUAUUGGCGAGAGACCGAUAGCGAACAAGUACCGUGAGGGAAAGAUGAAAAGAACUUUGAAAAGAGAGUUAAAAAGUACGUGAAAUUGUUGAAAGGGAACCGUUUGAAGCCAGUCUUGCUUGCUUGUGAUCAAUCUUUGCUUCGGCUUGGAUGCACUCUCAGGUUAUGCAGGUCAACGUCAGUUUGAGAGGUGGGAAAAAAGCUUGAGGAAUGUGGCCUUCGGGUGUUAUAGCCUCUUGCUAAAUACCAUCUUUUGGACUGAGGCUCGCAGCAAAAAUGUGGGCAGGUUUGCGUUUGAGGUGAUACAUUAUUAAGACAGCUUGCCGACUUAGUUUUGUCUAUCUUCACUGUAAGCUUCGCUUCUAAUUUGCUUAGGUCGUUGACAUAAUGGCUUUAAAUGACCCGUCUUGAAACACGG
rnacentral:rRNA from 1 species